rnacentral:rRNA from 1 species
UGCAGUCGAGGGGUAUAUGUCUUCGGAUAUAGAGACCGGCGCACGGGUGCGUAACGCGUAUGCAAUCUGCCUUUCACAGAGGGAUAGCCCAGAGAAAUUUGGAUUAAUACCUCAUAGUAUAAUCAAGCCGCAUGGUUUAAUUAUUAAAGUCACAACGGUGAAAGAUGAGCAUGCGUCCCAUUAGCUAGUUGGUAAGGUAACGGCUUACCAAGGCAACGAUGGGUAGGGGUCCUGAGAGGGAGAUCCCCCACACUGGUACUGAGACACGGACCAGACUCCUACGGGAGGCAGCAGUGAGGAAUAUUGGACAAUGGGCGCAAGCCUGAUCCAGCCAUGCCGCGUGCAGGAUGACGGUCCUAUGGAUUGUAAACUGCUUUUGUACGAGAAGAAACAUCCCGACGUGUCGGGACUUGACGGUAUCGUAAGAAUAAGGAUCGGCUAACUCCGUGCCAGCAGCCGCGGUAAUACGGAGGAUCCAAGCGUUAUCCGGAAUCAUUGGGUUUAAAGGGUCCGUAGGCGGUUUAGUAAGUCAGUGGUGAAAGCCCAUCGCUCAACGGUGGAACGGCCAUUGAUACUGCUGAACUUGAAUUAUUAGGAAGUAACUAGAAUAUGUAGUGUAGCGGUGAAAUGCUUAGAUAUUACAUGGAAUACCAAUUGCGAAGGCAGGUUACUACUAAUGGAUUGACGCUGAUGGACGAAAGCGUGGGGAGCGAACAGGAUUAGAUACCCUGGUAGUCCACGCCGUAAACGAUGGAUACUAGCUGUUGGGGGCAACUUCAGUGGCUAAGCGAAAGUGAUAAGUAUCCCACCUGGGGAGUACGUUC